rnacentral:rRNA from 1 species
ACUGGGCGUAAGCGUGCGCAGGCGGUUUUGUAAGACAGGCGUGAAAUCCCCGGGCUCAACCUGGGAACUGCGCUUGUGACUGCAAGGCUAGAGUACGGCAGAGGGGGGUGGAAUUCCACGUGUAGCAGUGAAAUGCGUAGAGAUGUGGAGGAACACCAAUGGCGAAGGCAGCCCCCUGGGUCGAUACUGACGCUCAUGCACGAAAGCGUGGGUAGCAAACAGGAUUAGAUACCCUGGUAGUCCACGCCCUAAACGAUGUCAACUAGGUGUUGGGUGGGUAAAACCAUUUAGUACCGGAGCUAACGCGUGAAGUUGACCGCCUGGGGAGUACGGCCGCAAGGUUAAAACUCAAAGGAAUUGACGGGGACCCGCACAAGCGGUGGAUGAUGUGGAUUAAUUCGAUGCAACGCGAAAAACCUUACCUACCCUUGACAUGUCCAGAACCCCUGAGAGAUUGGGGGGUGCCCGAAAGGGAGCCGGAACACAGGUGCUGCAUGGCUGUCGUCAGCUCGUGUCGUGAGAUGUUGGGUUAAGUCCCGCAACGAGCGCAACCCUUGUCGUUAAUUGCCAUCAUUUAGUUGGGCACUUUAACGAGACUGCCGGUGACAAACCGGAGGAAGGUGGGGAUGACGUCAAGUCCUCAUGGCCCUUAUGGGUAGGGCUUCACACGUCAUACAAUGGUCGGUACAGAGGGUUGCCAAGCCGCGAGGUGGAGCCAAUCCCAGAAAGCCGAUCGUAGUCCGGAUUGCAGGCUGCAACUCGCCUGCAUGAAGUCGGAAUCGCUAGUAAUCGCGGAUCAGCAUGUCGCGGUGAAUACGUUC